rnacentral:rRNA from 1 species
AUCAAGCCCCUUAAGUCCAGGGCUGCAAGCAUGGUACAAUGGCAAGUACAACGAGUCGCAAUACCGCGAGGUGGAGCAAAUCUCUUAAAGCUAGUCUCAGUUCGGAUAGGAGUCUGCAACUCGACUCCUUGAAGUUGGAGUCGCUAGUAAUCGCAAAUCAGCAAAGUUGCGGUGAAUACGUUCUCGGGGUUUGUACACACCGCCCGUCAAGUCACGGAAGUCGGCAAUACCCGAAGCCAGUGGUCUAACCCUUAGGGGAAGAAGCUGUCGAAGGUAGGGUCGGUAACUGGGACUAAGUCGUAACAAGGUAACC